UGGAGCUCCAAAAAUGGUGGGCAUCUCUCAAUUUCUCACCAGUCUCGGCCAACAAGAGCCCUCUGGUCCACCGUUCCUGGACAAGCUUUUGUCUCUGCAGCUCUCACUGAGACAGAGAUUGAUGAAAGCAGGGGAUCGUUUGCUAUCAAAGAUGGGAAUGUUCUUGUGGUUUGUGACCACCAAACAAUUGAAGAUAUAAGAGUGAUCAAGCAGCUGGAUGGUAACCAUUUUGAGGAGGCUAGCGAUCUUGAUUCUUCAUCUGGUUAUCUGAGUUUUGACCAGACAAAGGAUUUGAAAGAUACCCAGUCCCCUGUUUUGUUAAUAACAGGCAAGUUAUUUAGCAAAAGAAAGAAGAAACUUCCAGAUUCUAGCAUUUAUAAGCACAUAGAUUUUGACACAAGGGGCCCACGCGCUUCUGCAAGGUAUUGGGUUCUCUUUGAUCAGAAGAACCUUAACCAGAUUGGUUUUCAAGUUAGAGUUGGAGAACCCAACUUUGAAUUCUCACCAAGAUCUUCACCGACUCGUUUUGGAAAAUACCAGAAGUUAAGGUUGAAACUACGAAGAAUUCGAAAACGAAGGCUUGGAUGGUUUAGAUUCUUUACAAGGCCUAGAGGGUUUGUUGCAGUUUCUUCAUCGGAGGAAGUAGACACUAAGGUUGCAGAGGUUACAGAGUUCAACAGAAUCUGCCUUAGCUAUUCAAGUGAAACUAAUGAAAGGUUCUAUGGUUUUGGAGAGCAGUUUUCUCAUAUGGACUUCAAAGGGAAAAGGGUGCCCAUUUUUGUUCAAGAACAGGGAAUUGGAAGAGGAGAUCAACCUAUUACUUUUGCAGCUAACUUGAUUAGCUACAGGUAGAUUUUCUUUUAACUAUUGGAUUCUGGUAGGUUUAGCUGUUGUAAUCUGAAUACUAGUUGUUUUUUUCUUUUCCUUUUGGCUUUAUUUUGCAGAGCUGGGGGUGAUUGGAGUACAACUUAUGCUCCUUCACCAUUCUACAUGACAUCUGAGAUGAGGUCCCUUUAUCUGGAUGGAUAUGAUUACUCUGUUUUCGAUUUAACUAGACAGGAUAGAGUUCAAAUACAGGUAUUGCUUUGAGAACCACAGCAACUUAUAUCCUAUAGACCAGAUGUAAUUUAGAAAAGCCAUGGUAAUGGCCAAAGACAGAAUUUCUUAGAUAAGACAAGAUUUGGCUUGCCAAAAAGCAUCAUAUUUCUAAGAAAUAAGUAUAUUUAUUCUCUCUAGAAAAACUUGCUGUAGUAAAAUGAGUUAUCUGUGCCCUCUUGAGAAUAUACAGACAAUAAAUAAAGAAAUUAGGUUAGUUCCUUGGUUAUAUAUAUUACUCAAGACAAUUGAAAGGAGUAGAAAAUAUUAUGUAAGCAAAAAAUAGAAGCUCAUUCAAGUUUAAACUUGCAGUUUCCUGUUUUCUGUAUCAUGGCGCUUGCAGAUUCACAGCAAUUCAGCUCAAGGAAGAAUUUUGCAUGGCAACUCACCUGCUGAGAUUAUUGAACACUUCACAGAAACUAUUGGGAGGCCUCCUGAGCUUCCUAAAUGGAUUAUAUCUGGAGCUGUCGUUGGAAUGCAGGGUGGAACAGAAGUUGUACGCCGCAUUUGGGAUGAACUUAAAGCCUAUAAGGUUCCCGUCUCCGCAUUUUGGUUGCAGGUACUCCCUGUAACUUUCAAAUGCAAAUCAAAGUUCAUUUAAAGUCCAAAUAAUCUUAUCUUCGAAACCAUAAAAAAUCUUUGCUUUGGGUUCUUCUAUAGAUAUACAAACUUAACUCCCAUUUAUAACUGUCAUUAGUUCAGGAUAAACUUUGGUUGGUUGAACUACAUUAACUGGUUUGAUUGACAACCAGAUGGAAAUAGUUUGACAUUUAAAAUUCUAACCUCCAUCUCAUGAUUAGUUCAAAAAACUCAGCACCUUGGUGAUCAUUAUGUAGAAGUUCUCACCGAGCAGCGAUUCAUGUGUAGGAUUGGGUAGGACAGAGAAAGACUCUGAUUGGAUCACAACUGUGGUGGAACUGGGAAGUGGAUACAACAAGGUAUAAGGGAUGGAAGCAAUUAGUUCAAGAUCUUGGUGCUCAGCAUAUUAAAGUGAUGACAUACUGCAACCCUUGUUUAGCUCCGGUACCAUUCUUUUUCCAAGCAUAUACAUUACCUCCACUCCAUCAUCAGUUUUUGUGCAUUAUCACUAGUGUAGGUUAUCAUAAAUUGCUACAUAUUUACAUAACACACAUGCUGGCAUUUCUUUUUCUCUGAAUCUCUCAUUCCCUUUCACAGACGGAUGAGAAACCAAACAGAAGGAGAAAUCUUUUUGAGGAGGCCAAAAAGUUGGACAUCUUAGUGAAAGACAAACAUGGAGAACCGUAUAUGGUUCCAAACACAGCUUUUGAUGUGGGAAUGUUGGAUUUGACCCACCCAGAUACCGCAAGUUGGUUCAAGCAGGUUUUGUUGGAAAUGGUAGAUGAUGGGGUCAGAGGAUGGAUGGCUGAUUUUGGUGAAGGUCUGCCUGUAGAUGCUGACCUUUAUUCAGGUAAGAAUUCCUCAUUCUUUCUUGACAAGAGUCAAUAUAUCCUAUUUAGUUACAUAGGAGCUAAUAUAAUGUUCGGCUUGAUGAGUCAAUAAAACUACAACCUCUUUGCAUCCUCUUUCUGUCCAAAUAACCAUAUGAUCAGAAUGUUAAAAUGAAUGAUUGGCCAGCACCAGCACACUAAACUCGAAACCAACAAUUUAACUAACUAUUGAAUUAUUUCUAAUAAUUUCAUCAACUAGGACUGAGGAUUAGAUUUCUAAAUACUUACACCAAUAGUAUAAUAUUAUAGAAUUAUAGGUAACUUUGGACUGACUGUUUCAGGCGAAGAUCCCAUCUCUGCCCAUAACAGAUACCCAGAGCUAUGGGCUAAAAUAAACCGAGAGUUUGUGGAAGAAUGGAAAGCAAAUCGUGUUGGUAAGGAGAGAGAGGACCCAGAAGAGUCUUUGGUCUUCUUCAUGAGGGCUGGUUUCAGGGAUAGUCCCAAAUGGGGGAUGCUAUUUUGGGAAGGAGACCAAAUGGUUAGUUGGCAGGCUAAUGAUGGGAUAAAAAGUGCUGUUGUUGGACUACUGAGUAGUGGACUUUCAGGAUACGCUUUCAAUCACAGUGAUGUUGGAGGCUACUGUGCAGUAAACUUGCCUUUUAUCAAGUAUAACAGAAGUGAGGAGUUGCUUAUUCGAUGGAUGGAACUAAAUGCUUUCACCACUGUUUUCCGGACACAUGAAGUAAGUUAAACCACUCGUCUGUGAUUCAUUAGCAUGCAUCAUAAUCAUCAAAUGGAAAAUAAGUGAAUAUCUUCUAAUCGCUCAAUACCGCCAAUAAUUCUUGCAAUUUUUUUUUCUGUAAUUUCAUGAUCCAUGAUGCUACCAAAUAUUUACAACUAUCUCCACACCAAUGACAUUUAUUUAUUGAAUUGAUUUAGAAAAAGAGAUAUUUUUUAAAAGUAAUAAUAUGAUGAGUCUCAUUUCUGUAUGUCACAUUAUUAUGAUUGUUCAACAGGGGACAAUGAUUUAUAUGAUCUUAUAGUUUGCUUAUUCCCACUAUUUCUCCAAGCAGGGAAAUAAACCAUCUCGCAACAGCCAAUUCUACUCAAACCAGAAAACUUUAUCAUAUUUUGCACGCUGUGCUAAAAUGUAUAAAGCUUGGUAUUUCUACAGAAUCCAACUAGUAAAGGUGAUACCUGAUAUUAAUGUGUUUUUCACCUCAAUUCAGUUUAACUUGCCUGGAGGAUCUAAAAAAUCUGUGUUCUUUGCAAACAGGAAGCAUCCCAGAAAGGCCUUCCCAUUUGCCGCCACCUUUUUCUUCAUUAUCCAAAUGAUAAGCAUGUGCAAAGCUUGAGCUACCACCAGUUCUUAAUUGGUACUGAAAUCCUAGUGGUGCCUGUUCUAGACAAGGGCAAGCAAAAUGUCAAGGCCUAUUUUCCAGAAGGUGAAACUUA
rnacentral:lncRNA from 1 species